UACGUAGGGGGCAAGCGUUGUCCGGAUUUAUUGGGCGUAAAGAGCGUGUAGGCGGCCAGAUAGGUCCGUUGUGAAAACUCGAGGCUCAACCUCGAGACGCCGAUGGAAACCAUUUGGCUAGAGUCCGGAAGAGGAGAGUGGAAUUCCUGGUGUAGCGGUGAAAUGCGCAGAUAUCAGGAAGAACACCCGUGGCUAAGGCGGUUCUCUGGGCAUGUCCUGACGCUGAGGAGCGAAAGUGUGGGGAGCGAACAGG
rnacentral:rRNA from 1 species